UCAAGAAACUUCCACAAUGGGCGAAAGCCUGAUGGAGCGACGUCGCGUGAUGGACGAAGUGCUUCGGCACGUAAACAUCUUUUAUGUGGGAUGAAAUUAUUGACAGUACCACAUGAAUAAGGGGCUCCUAACUCUGUGCCAGCAGGAGCGGUAAUACAGAGGCCCCAAGCGUUAUCCGGAAUCACUUGGCGUAAAGGGUGUCGAGGCGGUUGUAUUAGUCGUUCGUAAAAUCUACGAGCUUAACUUGUAGGCGGCGAACGAAACGGUACGACUUGAGGUUUGGAGAGGUGCGUGGAACUCACGGUGUAGGGGUGAAAUCCGUUGAUAUCGUGGGGAACACCAAAGGCGAAGGCAGCGCACUGGCCAAAAUCUGACGCUCACACACGAAAGCUAGGGUAGCGAAGAGGAUUAGAUACCCCCGUAGUCCCUGAGCGGGCUGGCAAGGCGCAU
rnacentral:rRNA from 1 species